UGCCAGCAGCCGCGGUAAUUCCAGCUCCAAUAGCGUAUAUUAAAGUUGUUGUGGUUAAAAAGCUCGUAGUUGGAUCUCAACAGCCUUGAAGCGGUUAACUUUGUAGUUUUACUGCUUUAUAGGCUGUGCUUUUGCUGGAGGUUUAGGGGUGCUCUUGAUCGAGUGUCUCUGGAUGCCAGCAGGUUUACUUUGAAAAAAUUAGAGUGCUCAAAGCAGGCUAAAAUGCCUGAAUAUUCGUGCAUGGAAUAAUAGAAUAGGAUGUCGAUCCUAUUUUGUUGGUUUUCGGGACUCGACAUAAUGAUAAAUAGGGACAGUCGGGGGCAUUUGUAUUCAAACGACAGAGGUGAAAUUCUUGGACCGUUUGAAGACAAACUACUGCGAAAGCAUUUGCCAAGAAUGUUUUCAUUAAUCAAGAACGAAAGUUAGAGGUUCGAAGGCGAUUAGAUACCGCCCUAGUUCUAACCAUAAACGAUGCCAGCUAGCGAUCUGCCUGCGUUUUUACUGUAGACUGGGCAGGAAGCUUCCGGGAAACCAAAGCAUUUGGGUUCCAGGGGAAGUAUGGUUGCAAAGCUGAAACUUAAAGGAAUUGACGGCAGGGCACCACCAGGAGUGGAGCCUGUGGCUUAAUUUGACUCAACACGGGAAAUCUCACCAGGCCCGGACACUGGAAGGAUUGACAGAUUGAUAGCUCUUUCUUGAUUCGGUGGGUGGUGGUGCAUGGCCGUUCUUAGUUGGUGGAGUGAUUUGUCUGGUUAAUUCCGAUAACGAACGAGACUCUGUCCUGCUAAAUAGUUUCUACUUCUCUUUUGAGUAGAAAUUUCUUCUUAGAGGGACUGGUGACUCUUAGUCACACGAGAUUGAGCAAUAACAGGUCUGUGAUGC
rnacentral:rRNA from 1 species